GGGGCUGUAUUGGAUUCGACGGGGUCAUGGGUUGUGCGAUGGCGAGUCGAGCCCCGGGCUCGUAAAACCGGGAACAACAUACGUGCGAAUGACGCACCUGUCGCCCUCGCUGCGUAAGCAGUAGAGACGAGAAAGCUCAGGCUUCGGUCUGACGUCGACCGCUCCCUCGGCCGUGGGGUGCGGACCCGACGCUAAUGCAAGCGGUCUUGCUGUCCGGCGGCGCCUCGGCGCCGGACGGGACGGUCACCGAGACUGGCCGAUGUGCAGCCUGUCCCAGGGCGUCACGUAGGUGAGAACAAAUCUGAGACUACACUCGUAGAGGUCGCACGGAACGUGGCUUCGGACGCGGGUUCGAUCCCCGCCAGCUCCACUU
rnacentral:tmRNA from 1 species